GAUGAACGCUGGCGGCGUGCCUAAUACAUGCAAGUCGAGCGAACGGACGAGAAGCUUGCUUCUCUGAUGUUAGCGGCGGACGGGUGAGUAACACGUGGAUAACCUACCUAUCUGUCUGGGAUCAUUUCGGGACUCCGGCGCUAAUACCGGAUAAUAUUUUGAACCGCAUGGUUCAAAAGUAAAAGACGGUCUUGCUGUCACUUAUCGCUGCAUCCGCGCUGCAUUAGCUAGUUGGUAAGGUAACGGCUUAUCAAGGCAACGAUGCAUAGCCGACCUGAGAGAGUGAUCGGCCACACGGGAACGGAGACACGCUCCAGACGCCUGCGGGAGGCAGCAGUAGGGAAUCUGCCGCAAUGGGCGAAAGCCUGACGGAGCAACGCCGCGUGAGUGAUGAAGGUCUUCGGAGCGUAAAACUCUGUUAUGAGGGAAGAACAGAUGUGUAAGUAACUGUGCACAGCUUGACGGUACCGAAUCAGAAAGCCACGGCUAACUACGUG
rnacentral:rRNA from 1 species